rnacentral:rRNA from 1 species
AAUCAACGCUGGCGGCGUGCCUCAGACAUGCAAGUCGAACGAUUAAAGCUCUCUUCGGAGAGUGCAUAGAGUGGCGCACGGGUGAGUAACACGUAAGUAAUCUACCUUCGAGUGGGGAAUAACAUCGGGAAACCGAUGCUAAUACCGCAUAAUGCAGCGGCAUCGCAAGAUGACAGUUGUUAAAGGAGCAAUUCGCUUGAAGAGGAGCUUGCGGCAGAUUAGCUAGUUGGUAAGGUAACGGCUUACCAAGGCUACGAUCUGUAUCCGGUCUAAGAGGACGGUCGGACACACUGACACUGAAUAACGGGUCAGACUCCUACGGGAGGCAGCAGUCGGGAAUUUUGGGCAAUGGGCGAAAGCCUGACCCAGCAACGCCGCGUGAAGGAUGAAGUAUUUCGGUAUGUAAACUUCGAAAGAAUAGGAAGAAUAAAUGACGGUACUAUUUAUAAGGUCCGGCUAACUACGUGCCAGCAGCCGCCGUAAU